GAAUUCCAUUUUCCUUCCUCAUUCAUCGGAGAGCUCUCUUUGGGCUUUCCGAAAAGGUAUCACAUGCCAAGUUUGGCCUCAUUGUCUAAAAGUUCUAGAGUCAUACAUUUUUGACAAAACAAAAGAGAAAAACAAAAAAAAAAGAGGGAUGCAACACGAGGACUUUCCAGGAGGUCACCCAUCCUAGUACUACUCUCGCCCAAGCACGCUUAACUGCGGAGUUUUGAUGGGAUCUGGUGCAUUAGUGCUGGUAUGAUCGCAUCCGGUACUACAUGCAAUGCAAUCGUAUAUAUUCUUUUUUGAAGACUUUAUGUUCGAUUUGCCGUGGGUCCCACCAGCUAUGUAGGAAUACCUUAUCUUGUUUAUAAAAGAUUUG
rnacentral:sRNA from 1 species